GGCAAUCUGUCCGAGUGGUCAAGGAGUACGUCUCGAACUAAAACGUGGUUUGACCCCCCUUGGGGGAGGAAACGUAUAGGCUCUGCCUGCACAGGUUCGAAUCCUGUGGUUGUCG
rnacentral:tRNA from 2 species